rnacentral:lncRNA from 1 species
ACAUGUGUCUGACAUGAGCUCCUAAAAGCACGAGUUUGUUUGUAUUUGUGUUGCUGGUUCCUGUGCUAGCAGCCACCAUCUGCUUUCACCUGUGUGGGCUGUGCUGCACGUCCCAUAUCGGUCCCCAUUCAUCUCCAGAAUUCAUUUGCAAAAGGGAAAAAGGAAUCUGGAUGCUGAUGACAAUGCCGCACUUCAUUGCUGUUUGGCACAGGGGAGUUUACAUCUAUCGUUGCUUUAUUUUCUCCUUGCUCAUCUUUUGAAGCUGCCGUCCCUCAGCUCUAUUCCAUAUGCAGAAAUGUUUGUGGCUGAUUCAGUGCCUGCAGAGGUGUUUGCUUUUGUAAGCAGAUGUGUUCUCAGGAGAACGUGCGUGUGCUUUGUGUAGGCUGGGACAGCACACGCUGUACUGCAGCACCGUGCUGCAAUCACUGCCAGCUCCAUGUUGCCCUGUCCUUAUCUCAACCCUGAGCCCCUUCCCUUUCUCCCUCAGGAUGGGGAGCGAGAGGUGUGGAUGCCCAGCAGAGUGAAACCAGCUCAUCUGGGCAGCAUGCCUGGCUUUCGUGCAGAGGAAAACUGUUACUGCAAAACCUUCCUGCUUUCCUGUGCAGGACUCAGCACAAGGGCUACCACUAGGUCGAACAGUCACCUCUGUAUGAACACCAGAAGGCUUUACACCCAAGAAGUACCACUCGGAAUAGACUGUAAGUGAGAAUAACCUGGUGUCUAUACCUCUGAAUAGGGGGAAUUUCCCCAGGGGUUGAAAGAGUUCUGUCCGAGCCUUUCAUGGAGUUAUUAUUUCUUUGAUUUAAAGGGGGGAAAAAAGCGAUGAAAAUCUCUGCCGAGAACAGCUGGCUAAUUUUUACAUUUUCUUUAUAGCAAAUCCCAGCCAAAAUCUGGCUGCUGGCAAGCACAGACCCAACAUCUGCAGGAGGAGAGGCCUCCAGCCUCUCCAGCUCACUGGAAUUUUCCAGCUGCUGUGAAACAUUUCCCAAGUUCACUACAGCGUCUGUUGAGGUAGGGAUGGGGUGUUCAGGUGGGUGUUUUUUGCUCUGUCCUGGUGCCAGGCUGAGGAUGGUGAGGGUGGCUGGAAAAAUGCCCAGCCUUGUUCAGGGCUGGACUCCAUAGUCAUGCUCUGAGGGAUUGGCUUUUCCUUCUGGGACCAACUGGAGGAACUCCUAAUCUCAUGUUGGCCUUGUCCCUUUUUCUCCAUGAUUAGGACCUUAAACUGUGUCCAUCACAACUCAGUACACAUCCUGUUGGUCUUGUGAACACUGACACCGUGGUGUCUUCACUCGGCAAUCCCAGAACUUUGCACAGCUGCUCAGUGAAGAUGGUUGUCCCCAUGUGCUGAAGCAGGCUUCCCAAGCUUACCCAUACAGCAACACCAUCAGCCAUCCAGGGCUGACAUGUGCCCAUCCUCAUGGACCUACAGGGAAGGCUGGUCCUUCAACUCCGACAGCUUCCUGAUUUGAGUCCAACUGCUUCCAAAAGUCCUUUCCAAGGGUGGCUGAUGGCUUCAGCAUGAAACAAGACAAUGGGGCUCACUUGAAUGUCUGCAAAGCAGCAAUCAUAUAUUCACUGGUAUUUGCAGGACUGGCACUGAAGGAAAACGUGACAAGUGGCAGCAUCUGGAACGAUCUCAACUCUAUUUCUAAUCAAACUAAAAAUCCCCAAGUAGAGAUGUGAGCAGGCCCUGAAUUAGCUGCCUGGUACAGUGAUCCAGCAGCUCCCACCUCCAAGUCCCUAAACACCCUUCAAACUCUUCAAAAUUCACCCACAAAAAGAUGAGAGCCCGUUGCUGCCUGCUGACACUCCAGGCAUCCACGGGAAGGAGGCAAUGCAAGGGUUAAGUCCCUUGGCAGCAAUUCAGUUGCACGAUGCAAUAAAAUAUUUUAUGACAUUUUUACAAUAUUGUGCAAUGGGAUUUUGAGCCCUCAAAAGAAAACAUGAUGUGAAAGUAAGAUGCAUCAGCGUGGAGCAAACAGCACAGGUAUGAGAUGCUUUCCUUUCCUCCCAUCUCCUCCCUCUGCCCUCUGUGCAACCAGGAGUCCUCAUUCCUGCCCCACUCAGCACAGCAUCCUCAGUGCUUCCCAGCACAUCUGCACUAAUUUUAUGUGCAUGCUACAUACUUCCAUGGUGAGCACAUAGUACUUGUUGCUACAAACAGCCCCAAUAAAUGUGGGAGCCAAGUGUGCCUAAAUAUUACAACAUAUUAAACACCUUUU